UACGGAGGGGGCUAGCGUUGUUCGGAAUUACUGGGCGUAAAGCGUACGUAGGCGGCUUUGUAAGUUAGAGGUGAAAGCCCAGAGCUCAACUCUGGAAUUGCCUUUAAGACUGCAUCGCUUGAAUCGUGGAGAGGUUAGUGGAAUUCCGAGUGUAGAGGUGAAAUGCGCAGAUAUCAGGAAGAACACCCGUGGCGAAGGCGGCUCUCUGGGACGGUACUGACGCUGAGACGCGAAAGCGUGGGGAGCGAACAGG
rnacentral:rRNA from 1 species